CCCACGGCACUCCCUGCAUCCUCACUCACCGCUGGGAGAGAAGAUAAGCAGGGGGGUAAAUUAGAGAUGGGUAGCUGGGUAAAUUAGAUGGGUAGGUGGGUAAAUUAGAUGGGUAGGUGGGUAAAUUAGAUGGGUAGCUGGGUAAAUUAG